AGACUAUAUAUACCACUUAAAAAUGACAUUUUUCAAAAAGUGCUAUUGAUUUAGAUGUUGAUACUGCAUAUUGGGCUGGUAAUAUUAUGUCCAUAUUAUGUUAUAAAUAAUUUUGAGUAUUGGGCCUACCAUUUGUUUUUUUCAAUUAUUUCUCUCUUAGCCCUAGAUACUCUCUCUCUCUCUCUCCCCUUUCCCCGCCCACUCUCUCUCAUCGGUGAUCUUUUUCUCACUUCACGACAAUAUCUCCUCCAAUUCUCCUUUCUCUCGCGACUCUGGCUCCGAUGAAGCUCUUCUCUCCUAUGCCGCAUAAGAUUUUCUCUCUCUUUGGAUUUGUGAGCCGUAUGAGGUCAAAGCCAUUGUAAAACUUAUGAUGGUAUUUUGGCUGUUUUUCACAAGUGGCAAAAUGAUUUUUUGCAGAAUUGGGACAGUUACAGAACAUUGUGUCUUUGAUACUUAACAACAACAACAUACAAGGGGAGAUACCUGGCCAGCUUGCCAAUUGUCUAAGUCUUGCAUCCUUGAAUGUUUCUUACAACAAUCUGUCUGGAGUUGUACCUCCUAUAAGGAACUUUUCUAAUUUGUCACCAGACAGCUUCAUUGGAAAUCCAUUGUUGUGUGGAAACUGGUUGGGGUCUAUCUGCAGACCUUAUGUGCCAAAAUCGAAAGGAGUAUUCUCUAGAGCUGCACUUGUAUGUAUGACGUUGGGCUUCAUAACACUGCUAUCUUUGGUAAUAGUUGCAAUUUACAAAUCUCACCAACCAAAUGAAUUGAUGACAGGAUCUGGAAAGAUUGGUCAAGGUAUGUCAUUAUUUCUACAAUUGUUUUAGCUAUUUAAUUAGGACAUGUGGAAAGGGAUCUAAUAACUAUGAGUCCCAAUAAGUCUGCUUAUUUGUAUGGGAUUGAAUAUUGUCAGAUGCAACUAGUUCUUUUGAUUGGCACAAAGCUACAACAUAUUAUUGCGACCCUGGCACAAGAGAAUGCUAGUUUAA